GACGAACGCUUUCGGCGUGCUUAACACAUGCAAGUCGAACGGAAAGGCCCUGCUUUUGUGGGGUGCUCGAGUGGCGAACGGGUGAGUAACACGUGAGUAACCUGCCCUUGACUUUGGGAUAACUUCAGGAAACUGGGGCUAAUACCGGAUAGGAGCUCCUGCUGCAUGGUGGGGGUUGGAAAGUUUCGGCGGUUGGGGAUGGACUCGCGGCUUAUCAGCUUGUUGGUGGGGUAGUGGCUUACCAAGGCUUUGACGGGUAGCCGGCCUGAGAGGGUGACCGGCCACAUUGGGACUGAGAUACGGCCCAGACUCCUACGGGAGGCAGCAGUGGGGAAUAAUGCACAAUGGGCGGAAGCCUGAUGCAGCAACGCCGCGUGCGGGAUGACGGCCUUCGGGUUGUAAACCGCUUUCGCCUGUGACGAAGCGUGAGUGACGGUAAUGGGUAAAGAAGCACCGGCUAACUACGUGCCAGCAGCCGCGGUGAUACGUAGGGUGCGAGCGUUGUCCGGAUUUAUUGGGCGUAAAGGGCUCGUAGGUGGUUGAUCGCGUCGGAAGUGUAAUCUUGGGGCUUAACCCUGAGCGUGCUUUCGAUACGGGUUGACUUGAGGAAGGUAGGGGAGAAUGGAAUUCCUGGUGGAGCGGUGGAAUGCGCAGAUAUCAGGAGGAACACCAGUGGCGAAGGCGGUUCUCUGGGCCUUUCCUGACGCUGAGGAGCGAAAGCGUGGGGAGCGAACAGGCUUAGAUACCCUGGUAGUCCACGCUGUAAACGGUGGGUACUAGGUGUGGGGUCCAUUCCACGGGUUCCGUGCCGUAGCUAACGCUUUAAGUACCCCGCCUGGGGAGUACGGCCGCAAGGCUAAAACUCAAAGGAAUUGACGGGGCCCCGCACAAGCGGCGGAGCAUGCGGAUUAAUUCGAUGCAACGCGUAGAACCUUACCUGGGUUUGACAUGGAUCGGGAGUGCUCAGAGAUGGGUGUGCCUCUUUUGGGGUCGGUUCACAGGUGGUGCAUGCCUGUCGUCAGCUCGUGUCGUGAGAUGUUGGGUUAAGUCCCGCAACGAGCGCAACCCUUGUUCACUGUUGCCAGCACGUUAUGGUGGGGACUCAGUGGAGACCGCCGGGGUCAACUCGGAGGAAGGUGGGGAUGACGUCAAGUCCUCAUGCCCCUUAUGUCCAGGGCUUCACGCAUGCUACAAUGGCUGGUACAGAGAGUGGCGAGCCUGUGAGGGUGAGCGAAUCUCGGAAAGCCGGUCUCAGUUCGGAUUGGGGUCUGCAACUCGACCUCAUGAAGUCGGAGUCGCUAGUAAUCGCAGAUCAGCAACGCUGCGGUGAAUACGUUCCCGGG
rnacentral:rRNA from 1 species